rnacentral:lncRNA from 1 species
UUGGAAACAGGUCUAGCCCAGGCGCUAGGGAAUAGCCCAGCCCAAGCUGGGCUGCAGGGAGGGAGGGGGCAGUGCUGGAAGGAUGAGAGAGCUCCUCCACCUCCUCAGCCCUGCUGGUGGUGGCCCAUGGUCACCUUCUCCGUAGGCCUGGAGUCCUGCCUGAGUCUCUGGACACUACCCUCUCCUGGGCAGGGCAGUUGGGCUUGUUACGCUUGGCCGCUCCAAGCAGAAACUGAGAAAAGGCAAAACCUGGCAUAGCGGCCAGCCUGGUGGGGUGGUGGCAAGGCAGGAGGGCCAGCUGGCUGCUGAGCUGAAUAGGACUGAUGACUCUGUUUCCCUGGUUGUCCUGUUUGAUGUUAAUCACCAGGCUGAGCAAGCUCUUCAACCAGACACAGCUGGCCCCCAGGGAAAUACGACAAGAGGCCAGGGAGGGUCUAGGUUAUUUGGAGUUAAAGACCUGCAGGACGGGGCAGAGUCAGGGGCAGGGAGUUUGAAGGAGGGGGUCAGAGGGUACAGAGAUGGAAAAAGAUGGUGAUGGAGGUCUCUAGUGAUGGCAGAUGGCAGAUGAAAGGGGAAGCUUGGGGACCAGCUGACCUCCAAGGUUCCUUUCAGCUGGAAAAACUGGUUCCAAGGGACACAGGAGUGAAGAGAUGAACUAACUGCCAGACAGGACCUUCAACAAACCGAAAGAGAGCCUCCCAGUCUCAGAGCUGUGGUCCAGCCACUGGGACACUUGCUGAGAUCCCAUCUAAGAUUUAGGGUCAGAGCUGGCAAGCAGAGAUACCAAAGGACACCAGUCUAGGGAAGGACAAACAGUGAGGUUCAGGCCUGGCAGUGAAGAAACCUCAACUGAGCCACAAUUUGCUGUGUGAUCUUAGAUGGGGAGCCUGAGGCCCAGAGAGGGCAAAGACAUGCUCAAAGUUGCACAGCAAGACAGCCAUGGAAGCAAGUUGGAACCCAGGGUUCUUGACUCUUCCCGGUGGUUAAGAGGCUGCUCUCCAGUCACACUGCUGGAAGUCUUUUCGGGCUCCCUGGCUUAUUCACCAUGUGCUCUCCAGCAUCAGUCACAUUGGAAUAAGAGCACCUGCCUCACGAGACACUUGGGACAGCGCAG